rnacentral:lncRNA from 10 species
GUGAGGUGCGCGAGGCAUACAUGGGUGGCGGAUGUCAUCAUUUUCCACACUGGAGCUCUGCUGCUGCACUCUGAAAGAUUCAUUUCUGAAUGGAGAGACGCUUCGGGUCUCCUAUACCACUCUCAAAGGCCUGAAGGCCAGGAAGAACCGUUCCAACCAGACCAGUCCUCCCAGGGGUCUUCCAGGAUGUCAGGAACGGGGAGGGUAGAGCUUCAGAGGGCUGCAGGUAGAACUGGACCUUCUGCCCGCUCUGAGCAGGUGAUACACUUGGGAUGCAGAAAUGCCACCUGCUCUUGGCCGUCAGCACAGAACCCCACCCACCCACCAGACCACAGAAGGAGGGAACUGGAAUCCAGGUGGUCUGUCUCUUGUUAUACAAGGAUGAUGGAGCUCUGCAUCAAGGUGGCUGAAGAGGCUCUGGAUGGCCAGGGAUGGAAGGAGGCCCCAUGGCACUCAGCCACAGUCUCCAAACCCAACGGGCAAUGCAUUUCCCAGCUACAGCUACAGUCAGCAACCCUGAGUCAACAAAGGGACCAGCCUAAUUGUUCUAUGAAAAUUUUGCCUACAAAAAUCUACUUAAGAUAAUGCAUUUGAGGUUUAGACUUGUUAUAGCCUCUAUGAGUACUUUACUACUAUGGCUGACCAGUGUUCCAUUUUAUUUUUAGAUAUACUGCCUUGUGUUUAUUUAUUCAUCCACUGACUUUGACAUCCGGGUGAUGUCCACUUUUUUGAUUACUGUAAAUAGCACUGCUAUAAACACUGGUGUACGAGUUUUUAUUUGGACACCUGUUUUCAAUUCUCUUGGGUAUAUACCUAGAGGUAGAAUUGCUAUGCAAAGUCAAGGCAGUUAGACACAAGAAACUACAUGUCGUAUGAUUUCAUUUAUGUGAAAUCUCCAGAACAGGCAAAUCCACAGAUACAGAAAACAAAUUUGCGGUCUCCAGGGACUAGAGAUGGGGGAAAUGGGAGUGACUGGAUAAUGGAUACAGAGUUUCCAUUUUGGGUAAUAAAAAAUCAUUCUAUAACUGAUGGUGGUGCUGUACAACAUUGAGAAUGUACACAGUUCUCUGACUUGAAAACUUUAAAAUAAUUAAAAAGGUAAAUUUUAUGCUUUAUAUCUACCACAAUAAAAAAUCUACUUAAAAAAUAGAGUUUUUAAAAAAUGUGUAGAAUAAGUUAAGGGAAUUGGAAAAAAAUUCUUCAUAGGUAUUGCUGAGUAUAUAUAAAUAAAUAGAUGAAACAAUUGUGUCUAGAAAAGCAAUUACUUGUACUCAAUAUGGUAUAUGGUUAACCCAUAGAAACCUUAUCCUUGUAAUUCAAUUUAAACCUGCUUUCAUUCUUGACAACUUAUAUAACAGAAGGUAUUUUCAGUUUGGUUGUGGUCCAAUUAUAAUAAGUGCUUAUUGUGGAC